UAUAUUUUGCAGCUGCCCGUACCGCAAACCGACACAGGUAGUCGAGAAGAAUAUUCUAAGGUGCUCGAGAGAUUCAUGGCUAAGGAACUCGGCAAAAUAAACCUGUAACUUCGGGAGAAGGGUUGCCUCCUCUAGCAAUAGAGAGGUCGCAGAGAAAUGGCCCAGGCGACUGUUUAACAAAAACACAUGGCUAUGCGAAAUCGCAAGAUGAAGUAUAUGGCCUGACACCUGCCCGGUGCUGGAAGGUUAAGGGGGGAAGUUAGCAGCAAUGCGACGCUUUGAACUGAAGCCCCAGUAAACGGCGGCCGUAACUAUAACGGUCCUAAGGUAGCGAAAUUCCUUGUCGGGUAAGUUCCGACCUGCACGAAUGGUGUAACGAUCUGGGCGCUGUCUCAGCCAUGAGCUCGGUGAAAUUGUAGUAACGGUGAAGAUGCCGUUUACCCGUCACGGGACGGAAAGACCCCAUGAACCUUUACUAUAGCUUCACAUUUGAUAUUGGGAAGAUGAUGUGUAGGAUAGGCGGGAGGCAAUGAUCUGGUGGCGCUAGCUAUCAGGGAGUCAACGGUGAAAUACCGCCCUUUAUUUUUCCGAUAUCUAACCACCGCAAGGUGGGACAUUGUGUGGUGGGUAGUUUGACUGGGGUGGUCGCCUCCGAAAGUGUAUCGGAGGCUUUCAAAGGUAUGCUCAGUACGCUUGGUAACCGUACGUGGAGUGCAUUAGCAUAAGCAUGCUUGACUGUGAGACAGACAAGUCGAUCAGGCGCGAAAGCGGGAUAAAGUGAUCCGGUGGUUCUGCAUGGAAGGGCCAUCGCUCAAAGGAUAAAAGGUACUCUGGGAUAACAGGCUGAUCUCCCCCAAGAGCUCAUAUCGACGGGGAGGUUUGGUACCUCGAUGUCGGCUCGUCACAUCCUGGGGCUGGAGAAGGUCCCAAGGGUUGGGCUGUUCGCCCAUUAAAGUGGCACGCGAGCUGGGUUCAGAACGUCGUGAGACAGUUCGGUCCCUAUCUGUGAUGGGCGCAGGAAGUUUGAGAGGCUCUGACCUUAGUACGAGAGGACCGGGUUGGAGCAACCGCUGGUGUACCGGUUGUCAUGUCAGUGGCACUGCCGGGUAGCUAUGUUGCGACGGAAUAAGCGCUGAAAGCAUCUAAGCGCGAAAUCCACCUCGAGAUGAGACUUCCUUAUAAGGGCCGUCGUAGACUACGACGUUGAUAGGCUGCAGGUGUAAAGUCAGAAAUGGCAAAGCCGAGCAGUACUAAUUACCCUAAA
rnacentral:rRNA from 1 species